rnacentral:rRNA from 1 species
AGUGGGGAAUAUUGGACAAUGGGCGAAAGCCUGAUCCAGCAAUGCCGCGUGAGUGAUGAAGGCCUUAGGGUUGUAAAGCUCUUUUACCCGGGAUGAUAAUGACCGUACCGGGAGAAUAAGCUCCGGCUAACUCCGUGCCAGCAGCCGCGGUAAUACGGAGGGAGCUAGCGUUGUUCGGAAUUACUGGGCGUAAAGCGCACGUAGGCGGCUUUGUAAGUCAGAGGUGAAAGCCUGGAGCUCAACUCCAGAAUUGCCUUUAAGACUGCAUCGCUUGAAUCCGGGAGAGGUGAGUGGAAUUCCGAGUGUAGAGGUGAAAUUCGUAGAUAUUCGGAAGAACACCAGUGGCGAAGGCGGCUCACUGGACCGGUAUUGACGCUGAGGUGCGAAAGCGUGGGGAGCAAA